UGCCCAUUACCCGCCACCUCGUGGUCUUCUUCUUCUUCUUCUUCUUCUUCUUGUUCGAAUAGGUGCGUAGUGAGCUCUCUCUCUCUCUCUCUCUCUCUAAUCAGUGAUUUGGUUUAUGCACCGAAUCGGCUAUUAAGGAAAUCAAGUACUCGUCCAUGAGUCCUGGAGCCAUGAAUUGGGUUCAACGUAAGAUCUAUCUGUACAAUGUCACUUUUGGGCUCUAUAUGUUGGAUUGGUGGGAGCGUUAUCUUUUCAAUACGUUGGUCCUGGUGUUAAUGUGGUUCAUCUGUUACAAUAGCUCACGGUAUUUAACAGAGUUUUGCAAGAGGCAUCUAUGGUGAGGGCUAGAGAAAGCAUGGACCUGGAAGGUUCAAAUUUGUGAAGUGAUUGAUGAUUUGAAUGCAGCUGCUGCUUGUACUACAAUUAGUGUUUCCUUCGACUUGUGAAAAUGUUGACUUUUUGUAAGAGCAACUGUGGUUGUACUGCCAUUUCUACACCAUUUGCUCAUGUUUUUGGCUUAUAUUUACUUAAUUCUGCAGAUUGUAUCACUCCCAGCUGUAGACUCCUGAUUUAAUUAUCUGAACAAAGAUUAUGGUUCUCGGUUA